UGGUGGAGCGAUUUGUCUGGUUAAUUCCGAUAACGAACGAGACUCUAGCCUGCUAAAUAGUACGCCGAUACCUUUUCGUCGGUGCUGACUUCUUAGAGGGACAAGCGUCUUGAAGACGCACGAGAUUGAGCAAUAACA
rnacentral:rRNA from 1 species